AUAUGAAUAGUUGUCCUGAUGAAGUGGCUAGUAAAAUGGUGUAGGACGACAACAAAUAUUUGAAAAGAAUGAGAGUUAGUUAAGUUGCAAUGAAAGACACAGAAAAGAAAGAGAGAAAAAAAAGGCCAAAACACACACAAAAAAUGCGCACAAACACAAACAAUGAAAGACACAGAAAAGAAAGAGAAAAAAAAGGCCAAAACACACAAAGUAUCCAUUAAAAAAAAAUACCUAGAGCAAUUUAGGAGUUUCAAAAAGGUUUCGUUGGAGUUCGAGUUUUUCAUUCGCGGAUUCGAGUUUGUGGACCUGAAUAGCUUUGCUAGCUUUGGAAAUAUGUAGAUUGUACGUUGCUCUCCGAAAAGAAUUUGAAGGUUACGUUCCUGGACUAGCACAAACAAACAAUUCAAAAAGGCUGUGUGUGGUUAUGCUCCUUAACCCCUCGAUCAAAUAGUUAUGUAGUUUUCGUUUGUUGGUAUCUCAAUAUGUUGAAGUCAUCAUGUUUAUACCCAUCUGCUGCACUUAAUCAUGUUGGAUAAGCAGCUCAUUUUUUUGUUAGGUACUGGAAAGAAAAAGGAAGAAAUGGGCUUUGGAGUUACACAAAUUUAAAUAAGAAAGCAGACAGUGGCUUAACAACAAGUGGACUUAAUAUCAUGAUUAAUCAGUUUGCUUAAAUGUUAUUUGAGCCUAAUGAUUCUUGGAUGCUGAGUGUUUAAAUUAUUUGGUUAGUGCUUCUUCAUCCUAUAUUUAGCCAUGAAUCAGUUGAUAAAAUUAAUUAUACUUUGGUCAUGUGUUCGGUUACGCUCCUUGGCUAAGCAUGAAUUAAUAAUUCCAACGAGUCUCGUGUGAGGUUACUCUCCUUGGCUCCACGUUAACCCAAACAAUUGUGAGAAGAACGAGAUGAGAUACAAAUUUAUUUCAAAUCCCGUUGUCACAUAAAAAAAAAAGUGGAAAGAACACGUGUGAGAGAGUGAGGCGGGUUGUGAAUUAAUUCAAAAUCCGUUGCAAAAAGAGUGAAUUAAAAAAAAAAAAAACAAAUUAGGCAAGCAUAGGCAAAUAAACACAAUGUUGUCUAAAAAUAAAUUUUAGCCAAAUAUAAGUCGAUAAAAGCGACCGUGCUAGAAUCACAAGACUCGGGGGUGCCUCAUACUUUCCUUCCGGCAGACCAAAAAUAAAAAGCCAUUUCCUUUUGAAUAGGGAUUCAUUAAGAUGACUUGGAAUAACAAAACUCAAUUCCAAGUGGCGACUCUUAAU